rnacentral:misc_RNA from 1 species
AAAGUCGUAACAAGGUCUCCGUUGGUGAACCAGCGGAGGGAUCAUUACCGAGUCUGACAACUCCCAAACCCCAUUGUGAACGCUACCUCUUGUUGCCUCGGCGGGAUCGCCCCGGGCGCGUCGCAGCCCCGGGCCAAGGCGCCCGCCGGAGGAAAAAACCACAGACUCUCGUGUAUCCAGGCCGCGGGGCAGCCCCCGCGCGCCGCACCGCCUCUGAAACCUCAGACGCUCCCCGGAGCGGACGAAAUGAAUCAAAACUUUCAACAACGGAUCUCUUGGCUCUG